rnacentral:rRNA from 1 species
AUGUGAUCGUCUCUCGCAUAUCAAUAAGCGGAGGAAAAGAAACUAACAAGGAUUCCCCUAGUAACGGCGAGUGAAGCGGGAAGAGCUCAAAUUUGAAAUCUUAAAGGGUUUCCCUUUACGAAUUGUAGUUUAAAGAAGUGUUUUCUGUUGAGGUUUUGGUAAAAGUUCUUUGGAAUAGGACAUCAUAGAGGGUGAGAAUCCCGUAUUUGACCUUUACUUUCAACUUUGUGAUACACUUUCAAAGAGUCGGAUUGUUUGGGAAUGCAGUCCAAAAUGGGUGGUAAAUUUCAUCUAAAGCUAAAUAUUGGCGAGAGACCGAUAGCGAACAAGUACCGUGAGGGAAAGAUGAAAAGAACUUUGAAAAGAGAGUUAAACAGUACGUGAAAUUGUCAAAAGGGAAGCGUUUGACACCAGUGUUGUUUUUCUGAAAAUCAAUUAAAGAACUGUUUAUGCUAAGUUGUUUAGACUUUAUCAGCUAUCUGUUUAGUUUUGAGCUUUUCUUUAAUGCACUUUUCAGUUAACAAGUCAACAUCAAUUUCUUUUGCUGUAGAAAAGCUUGAGGAAGGUGGCUUGAGAUUCGUCUUAAGUGUUUAUAGCCUCUUGCCUAUGCAGUCGGAGAGAUUGAGGUCUGCAGCGUAGAUCCUUCGGGGCUAAAUGCAUUUGUGCUAAGUUAUAGCAUUUUAUAGACAACUUGUUGACUAUGAUUUGUCUUGUAGCUUACUCGCUUAUGUUAUUUUACCUACGCUUAGGAUGUUGAAGACUCUACAGAGAUA